CAUUCAUGCAUUACUUUAACAUACGACUACAGUAAAGUUAAAAAUGCAUGUUUCAUUAAAUGCCUAGGCUCAUGGAAAAAUUUUGCUUGAGUCUCGUUUAUAAAAUGGAAUAUCCACAUGCACGUAGGCAUGACUAGGUGGCCAUUCAGUAGCACACCAAUCCACAGUCAUAAACAUCCUAUAUGCAUAAAAAUGUCAAAGUCAUAUUCCAUAAAGGUAGUCUAAUUACCAG
rnacentral:lncRNA from 1 species